rnacentral:rRNA from 1 species
CCUACGGGUGGCUGCAGUGAGGAAUAUUGGUCAAUGGUCGCGAGACUGAACCAGCCAAGUAGCGUGCAGGAUGACGGCCCUAUGGGUUGUAAACUGCUUUUAUGCGGGGAUAAAAUGCGUCACGUGUGAUGUUUUGUAGGUAUCGCAUGAAUAAGGACCGGCUAAUUCCGUGCCAGCAGCCGCGGUAAUACGGAAGGUACGAGCGUUAUCCGGAUUUAUUGGGUUUAAAGGGAGCGUAGGCGGGAUGUUAAGUGUGCCGUGAAAUGCCGAGGCUCAACCUUGGAACUGCCGCGGAUACUGGUCGGCUAGAGAGUAGGUGAGGUAGGCGGAAUGUAUGGUGUAGCGGUGAAAUGCUUAGAGAUCAUACAGAACACCGAUUGCGAAGGCAGCUUACCAAGCUACUUCUGACGUUGAGGCACGAAAGCGUGGGGAGCAAACAGGAUUAGAUACCCUAGUAGUC